GGCUUGAAUGGCUGUGUUUGCAGACAGGUGAGCAGACGGCUCUGGUGCAGCCUGCAUGCGUGCACAAAGUCUUGCUAAGUCUCAGAACGGAAUUGCCACCGCUGAUCUCUUGCACUCUGUUGCAGCAAGAAAGAAAAGGGAGAAGAGAGCCAAGUAAAUCUAAAAGUUGUUACAACAAGAUCCACAGAGGGGUUGGCACUUGGCACUACUUUCAGCGCUGCAAGGAGAAUACAGGUGGCCCUCGUUACCCGCCGGAGAAUUGCUGUGGGAAACAUCAAUUAUAGUCCUAACCAUAGGCCAUCGUUUGACUAGAUCUGUUCUCAGGGUGGCUACCAUAUGAGAAAGGGAAGCUAACAACCAUCCCAAUUUAGACAUAGCUCCAAACAACAGUAUUAUUGUUCAUUUAGCAGCAGCAGCAGCUGAGAAAAGGAAGCCUGCUGAACAAGAGUAAAAAUAGACCCGGCAGUUACUCAGCUCCUGAGAACAUGAUGACAUGACUCAUGAGUGAAACAGCAUGUGGCCAGUGGAGAAACCGAUCAAGACGGAUCAGAUACAAAGUGCCCACAAGACGUUACAGAGUUCUCAUGACUGAAAUGAGAAUUCUGCAUAAUAUCAAAAUGCCUGUGUGAUCUUGUAGGGAAAGGGUUGAGCUUAGAUCUAAGAGAUCUGGAUCCAAGUCUUACAUCUGCCAUGAAUUGUGGAGAUCAUUUCUCGUCUUGAAAUGGGAACAAUGGUGGCUCUCUUAUCAUGGGAACAAUAGUAGCUCUAUUCUCAGGGUUGUUGGAGGACUGAGCACAAUAAAGCUUGUA